rnacentral:rRNA from 1 species
AGUCACUGACAUUAGAUACCCCCGUAGUCCCAGCCGUAAACAAUGUGCGUUAGGUGUGUCGGUAACCACGUGUUACUGAUGCGCCGAAGAGAAAUCGUGAAACGCACCACCUGGGAAGUACGGUCGCAAGGCUGAAACUUAAAGGAAUUGGCGGGGAGCACCACAACAGGCGGAGCCUGCGGUUUAAUUGGAUUCAACGCCGGACAUCUCACCGGAUAAGACAGCUGAAUGAUUGUCAAUCUGAAGGUUUUACAUGACUAGCUG